rnacentral:rRNA from 1 species
AGAGUUUGAUCAUGGCUCAGAUUGAACGCUGGCGGCAGGCCUAACACAUGCAAGUCGAGCGCCCGUAGCAAUACGGGAGCGGCAGACGGGAGAGUAACACGUGGGAACGUACCCUUCGGUUCGGAAUAACCCAGGGAAACUUGGGCUAAUACCGGAUACGUCCGUAAGGAGAAAGAUUUAUUGCCGAAGGAUCGGCCCGC